GGGUGACGACGCUCAACCACUCUGGCUGGGCUGUAGCCAAUCUUAAUUGUGUCUUUCAACAAAUAUCUAGAAGUGGAACUGCCCGUUAGAAAGUCUGUACAUAUUUUGAUUGACUUUAGAGACACAGAGAGAGGGUGAGAGAGAAACAUGGAUUUGCUGUUCCACUGCCUGAUGCAUUCAUUGGUUGCUUCUUGUAUGUGCCCUGAGCAGGGACUAAGGCCGGCAACCUUGGCCUAUUGGGAAGACGCUCUAACCCAGCGGUUCUCAACCUGUGGGUUGCAACCCCUUUGGCGGUCGGACGACCCUUUCACAGGGGUCGCCUAAGACCAUCCUGCAGAUCAGAUAUUUUCAUGACGAUUCAUAACAGUAGCAACAUGACAGUGAUGAAGUAGCAACGACAAUCAUUUUAUGGUUGGGUCACAACAUGAGGAACUGUAUUUAAUGGGCCAGAAGGUUGAGAACCACUGCUUUAGACAUUUGUACAACUUACUGGAUUCUUUCAGAAUCAGUUUUUUAUGUAAAUAAACCUGAACACCCAGUGCAAAAGGUGUUCUCUAACCAGGCAUGUCGGCCUCUCUGUUGCUCUCCCUGUUCCUAAGGACUGUGCCGCAGAGUCAGACACCAAAUAAAGUCCCCGAAGUGGCACGGGGAGUCCUUGUUUAUUCAGCGCGUCCCCUGGGAAUGCAGGUGUGUGCAUGGCCCGUGGAGAAAGGGGACACGCCUGAAACAGAGCAGCGUUCGGUGUUUGCUGUUCCUUUGAAGGAGGGAGCCCUAGCCGGUGUGGCUCAGUGGAUAGAGCGUCAACCUGCGGACUGAAGGGUCCUGGGUUCGAUUGUGAUCGAGGGCACAUGCCCGGGUUGCAGGGUUGAUUCCCAGCGGGGGGCAUGCAGGAGGCAGCCGAUCAACAAUUCUCUCUCAUCAUUGACGUUUCUAUCUCUCUCCCUCUCCCUUCCUCUCUGAAAUCAAUAAAAAUAUAUUAACAAAAUAGAA